GGGGUCCCUCCUCUAGGUUGAGACAGCACCAAGCUGCCCCCUACAGGUGGGAGGGAAAGGCAGGCAUCCUGAAGACUGCAAACCCCCACCUCCCCCACCCCAGGAGGGAGGGGACAGGAGCAGAGGGGGGGUGCUGUGCUUACCCCAGGUCAUCUUCAUCUCUGGGAGUCCCCCACCCCCGCCGGAGGACUAGAGCAGCAGUUCUCAACCCCUGAUUCCCAGGCCAGUCACAGCAGCAGCAGCUGGGGACUUGUUAGAAAUGUAAAUUCUCAGGCCCCAGCCAGGUCCCACUGAAAGGCAGCUCUGGAGAAUGGGCCCAGCAGUCUCAUCCAGGGGAUUCUGAUGAACCCUCAAGUUUGGGAACCCUGGUAUGGCCACCUGCAGCAGCCCUUGCUUGAUAGCUUGGCCUGCUGAGAUGGGGCCCGUCCCGCCUAUUUGGAGGCACCUCCUGCAAACUCUUCCCUUAACAAAUGAGGACACUGAGGUGCAAGGAUGUGUGGCCUGCCUGAGACCACCCUCUCAAGGAAUCUUCCCCCAAGCCUCUCAGAUCAUAGGAGAGGGAAAAGGAAGCCAAUAAGCAACUAUCUGGGGUUCCUCAGUCCUAACCGCUCCUGGAGGUCUGCCUUGCCCAGGCCUUGCUGGAUACGUCAAGCCCUGGGCCCAGGCACAGGCCAUGUGGCACCCUGCCUUGUCCUCCUCUCCUCUGAGGUGAUGUCGCGCCAGCUUUCUCCUCUCAGAUCCCACUGUCCUGCCUGCCACUCACGCGGAGAUGAACACAAAGGGCCCAGCUGUGAAGAAGAUCACAACAGGAUUUGGUUUUGUUUUUAUCCAUCUCCAGCAGCUAAAACUACUUGUCAAUCAGAGAGAGAUGGGAAGUCACUAGAAAGACAGGAAACGUUUGAGGAUGGAAACGCAUCCCCCUUGGCCCGGUCAUAUGGCACGGAUGUCUUUCCAGAGAAGUGCCAGGCUCUGUUUGGCAGGCGGGCAUUAGGAGGGUGCUCCGCCCUCCUCACCCCACAAUAUUCACAGGUGUGGCCCAGCGGCCAGCAGCCAGCAGCCAGCAGGGUACACUGCGGGCAUGGGCCAUGGGCCCCAGCGCGGUUAGCAGCACACCCCGAACCAGGCAAGCAGGAGCAGGGGUACAGAACGUGCCGGCAAGGACCCCCGGGGAAGGACCCAUGGGUGGAGAUGCUGGAGGCGGCGCCCAAGGGCUCUGCGGCGGGGACAGGUAGACAGGCCUGGUCGGAGGGGCUGGUGGCCCAGGUGGGGGCAAAGCCAACGGACAUGUGAGUAAAGUUACAUUUCCUUCUGACCUGCAGCCCAUCAGCAACUACUGGAGGCUACAGGGGACAGUCUUCCGGGACACCCCAACUAUCUUAAGGUUAAUGCUUUGCUAGAGGGAGAAACGACCUUACUUGACAACAGCUGGGCCUCCAGGGUCCUGUGAGGCUUUACCAUCCGAAAGUCCUUUUGGAAACUUCCCUUGCCUUUACCUCCCCCAACUCCAGAGCAGACAGACGGUUGCUCCUCACUGUCAGGGGGCAGCCCUUUCUGCCCACAGGGCCUGUCCCCUGCUUUAAUACAGCCACUUUUUUUGCACCAAAGAAGUCUCAAGAAUUCUUUCCUGGGCUCCGAACCCCAACAUUUCCGACAUCAGUGAUGGGACAGGGUGGCACGUGGCUCUGGAGAAGCAAGUUCACCCACAGCCCAAAAUGUUGGGGCUCCAUAGAUCUGAGGGCCUUAAUUGUGUUCGAAUUCUAAAGUGUUGAAAUCCUGGAAAAGGCUUUAAUGCUUUUCUAAUGUGACCUGUUCCUUUUUAUUAUUAUUUUAAGAUUUUAUUUAUUUAUUUGACAGAGAGAGAGAGAGAGAGAGAGAGAGAGUAGAAGCAGGGGGAGCAGCAGGCAGAGGGAGAGAGACUGACGUGGGGCUCGAUCCCAGGACCCCAGGCUCAAGACUUGAGCCCAAGGCAGACGCUGCACACUGAGCCACCCCUGACCCAUUCCUUUUUAUAAGCAAAGGAACUGAAACUCAGAAACAUGAAACAAUUUGCACAACUUGUCAGGGCUCUUUCAUUCACGGGGACAGAGACCCAACUCAAACCAAAUGAAUAAACGAAGGGAAUGUACUGGCUGCUCUAACUGU
ensembl:lncRNA